UAAAGAUGUAGAUGAUCUAGAUGAGUCUCUAAUUGGAGAGUUGUCAGAUGUUGAAAGAUAUCUGUUGAAGUCGCAGGAAAUGUUUGUUGUCCGGGGAAAGGGACACAGACCAGUUCUUGUUCUUAUACCACCAGAUGCAAAGAUUCCUGAAGGAAAUAAAUAUCUGUUUCCAAACAAAGCUUCCAGUUACACAAGAGCGUAUGACUCUCUGAAGAGAACAUGUGAUGAAUGUUGCCUUGUUGCUCCCGAUCGUAUCAACAGUGUAUCCAUGAGGAAGUACACGGCAACCCUUGCACAGAUCUAAUCUUCCAAGAAAAUGAAGAUGUUACAACAGAUGGUGAUAUGUCAAUUGUGGAUACUGUGGCAUCAGAAAACUUUACAGUAUCUGACAGACAGGAGUUCGAUGAAGCAGCAUUCUACCAAAGUUCAUCUGGAACAGAUGAGAAAGAUUUGGAAGAGAUUUCAGACAAAGAUUCGGAAGAGAUACAUGUACAAGACAAACGUAAAAUAAAAGCAAAAGUAAAACGUACCCUGUGGAAUGAUACAGAACUAUCAGAAUUGGAGAAGUAUUUUCAGGCCUAUUUUAAAACCAAGACAUGUCCACGAAAGAAAGCCAUCGAUUUAGCAAAAAAACAAAGUCGUGCCCGAAAAGGGAAACUUUGGAUGAGGUCAAAUGACAAAAUAGUUAAAAAAAUCAGUGCGAUGAACCAUAAAAAGUAAAGAUGGUUAAAGAUAUAGUUGGUGAUCUUUGUUUUUCUUUUUAAGGACAAAAGUUCAUACAGAUGUCAACCUUGUUUAAGAAAAUUAUGUAAAUCGUGUGAGACUAUGUGUACAAAUCAAGAAAUAACCAGUAAAGACUGUUUAUUGUUUAACAUGUAAAACCUGUAGAAUGCAAUAUGUAGGCCAAACCAUUAUUCCAUUCAGCACUCGACUUAAAAAGCACAGAAGUAAUAUAAAGCUUAAAAAACUUUGCCAUUCCCCCCAUGUAGCCCACCAUUUUAA